rnacentral:SRP_RNA from 1 species
GGGUAAGCCUUAUACGACCAGCUCCUGCCCAACUCCCCCAGGUUCGGAAGAAAGCAAGGGCACGGUGGUUGAGCGGUGCGAUAUAAGUAGCUUACCCUUU